UACGGGGGGAGCAAGCGUUGUUCGGAUUUACUGGGCGUAAAGGGCGCGUAGGCGGCGCGACAAGUCACUUGUGAAAUCUCCGGGCUUAGCCCGGAGCGGCCAAGUGAUACUGUAGUGCUAGAGUGCGGAAGGGGGCUACUGGAAUUCUCGGUGUAGCGGUGAAAUGCGUAGAUAUCGAGAGGAACACCUGCGGCGAAGGCGGGUAGCUGGGCCGACACUGACGCUGAGGCGCGAAAGCCAGGGGAGCGAACGGGG
rnacentral:rRNA from 1 species